rnacentral:lncRNA from 1 species
CAGAUACAGUGGUACCUCUGGUUACAUACGCUUCAGGUUACAUACGCUUCAGGUUACAGACUCCGCUAACCCAGAAAUAGUACCUCGGGUUAAGAACUUUGCUUCAGGAUGAGAACAGAAAUCGUGCUCUGGCGGUGCAGCAGCAGCGGGAGGCCCCAUUAGCUAAAGUGGUGCUUCAGGUUAAGAACAGUUUCAGGUUAAGAACGGACCUCCGGAACAAAUUAAGUACUUAACCCGAGGUACCACUGUA